rnacentral:lncRNA from 1 species
GCGCAAGGCGCUGCACGGGCCGCAGGAGGAGCCUCCGGAUGCCGCCGCCGGCCGGCGCAGCCCCGACGCGCGGGGGUGACGGGACACCGGGCUGGGGAGGGGGCCGCAGUACCUGCUGGCGGCUCCCGGCAGCCGGUGACAGCUCGCAAGCGGAAGUAAAACCCCACGACUUCCGGGUACCCCGCGGCAGGCCAUAGGACAACCACCGUGACCGUUCACUCCUCCGUGACCCCGGAAGAAGAACCGGCGUGUGGUGUAAUGCUCUGUGCCCGAGAUAAAAAGCGCCGGGAGAGGGGGCGAAUCCUCGAGGGAACAAACAUCGUGGGCAGAGGGAGGGGGAAGCGCUGCGCAGCCCAUUGGCAGGGCAGGCACCGCCUCGGGGUGGAGCCCGCCUCAAGGUGGGGGCGUGUGUGGGGGGUCAUGCUGGGAAAGGGCAGGUGCGUGGCAGGGGCGCACCCCCGGCUGGGGCGGGGAGCAGCUCCCCUCCCCCGCUGGGCGCCUGUCGGCGGGCCGGGCCUGGCUUCUCCAGGCCUAGGGGUCCCUGGAGGCAUCGGCCUCUCCUGUGCCAAGCUCGGUGUCCUUGGCAGCAGGAGGCCAUGGUUCGCAGCCUGCCUGCCUGAGCAGGGCGAGCUGCAAGCCCUGGAGCUGGCCCCAGGACGGGUCGGAGCUGGGUGGUGGCAAAGGGGACACGCAAAACAGGAGGUGGCUGAUGGGAUGGGCAGCUCUGCCUGUUCAGAGACCGCCUGGGCUUCCAGCAGUGUCCAUUUUCCCUCAGUCUCCUGCUUCACGCACCUCAGGGUGGUCUCCCUUCACAGUGUACUCCUGAGCCUGGCCUCGGCCUCGUCUGGCAAAGGCAGCCAUAAUCAGUCUUGGGAACAUCAGAGUCAUACUCGAGCCUCUUCCUUACCAUGAAGAAGCCUGGAUCACUCCACCACCCUCAUAAUAGGAUGCCACCUUCAUGUACUUAGAGUACCUGUGAUGAGUCUGCUUCUUGGCUUUGCUGCUGGGCACUAGAUGGGACAAAGAAGACUGGCCAGCCUCCUGUUCCUGGUCCAGGAUCCUUUUCUCUUUCCCUGUCCUUCCCUCUUCCCUACCCCCAAUAAAACAGUCUGCAA